GCUGGACCUUGCACUUGGCCUGAUUGAACUUCAUAAGGUUUGCAUGGGCCCACUCAAACUUCUCCCAGUGCAAUUUGUGACCAAUGCCUCUUAUCCCUAGGUUCUGCAUCUACAAGAGCCUGCCUUUGUAAGAGAGUGGCUACACCAUGUGGAGAGUGAAGUCACAGAGCAAGUACCCGAAGAGAGUAAGAUGCAUAGGAUCCAUCAAUGCUAAGCUGUAAUAAAACCUACCAAAAGUUUGACAGGGUGGCAGAAGGGAAGGUGAGCAAAGCUGCCCAGUGAAAUUCCAGAAAACUGACAAGAUCAACAUAAAAGGCUUCUAGCCUGUGCAAAAAAAAUACAAAAAAGAUCUCUGCGAUGUCUACUGUGCAGAUGAAGUGAAUUAUGAAGCAGAACAAAAAAUGAAUUAUUAAUGUUCAGACUAUCAUUUGCUGUCUGGAUGGACUUAUUAACAAGCAGAUGAGAAGAUGUAAAGUUUUGA
rnacentral:lncRNA from 1 species